AAAUGAGAGAAAAAAACAAACAAACAAAAAUCGUAGAAUUGUUCCUGUUUUGUCGAUUGUCAUGUUCCUCUAGCUGUGUUAGUUUUAUACCAUAACAGUGCUUAACUAGGAUGCCCAAGAUGACGAAGACAGAUCGCUGCCACACAUCGACCAUGGUUUCCAUUCCAAACUACCACCAGGAAGUCUACCACAUGGUUUGCCCACUGUGAAGGAAGUUGCAUCAGCCAUAACACCACUUGAACACAAAAAAGAAUAUGAAGAGAAAAAUAGAUUAAGGAACUAUCGGAAGAACAAAAACAGAUGAUCGUCUUGUCGGAGGACUUUCAGAGGUUUGUUCUACGCGCUAGACGUGUCAUCGAAAGGGCUAUAUCUGAGAAUGUCGACAUCUACACAGACUACAUUGAAGGUGGUGAUAAUGAAGAGUCAAAGGAUGAGAGGACACGUGCCAGGUUGUCAUUAAAUCGAGAUUUCUACGAAGACCGAUGGUCUAAGAAUCGAUGCAUGACUUAAAUGGAUUAGUCAACACAUUUUCCUGAACUGGUUGUUGCUUUAUAUCACAAUAAUGAGGAGAGUCCCAAUGAACCAGAUGGUGUUGUAAUG